AGGUUGAAGUGCAUUCGUUCUCCACUUUACUUCAUGAGCAGGCAAUGUUGAGCACAAAGGAUAGGUCUGCUUUCUAAAUAAGGGGAUCCACUUCUGGCUCCAAGAUCGAUGCUGAGUAGAGAAAAAUGGUGGCCAAAAAACAGGACCUGGAAGUUGGCUAUGUCACUUUUACUCACAAAGCUGCCAAUGUGGCUGGUGGGCUGGUCAGCCCACAAGCUUUGGGACCUACCUGCUUCUGUUCCCUAAUGCUGAAGUACAUGCACAGGCAGCCAUGCUUGGCAACUGAACUCAGGUCUUCACAUUCAUAAGGCAAGUGCUCUUACCCACUGAUCCACCUCUCCAACCUCUAAUUAUUACACUUUUACAUUUAUAGUAUUCAAUAAUGAUUAUAUUAUUAUAACAUUAUAUUGCAAGCAUUCUAUACUCAAUUAAAACCCUACAGUGUGGUACACUUCUGCUCAAUUUUUCAUGAACUGUACACAGCUCAUAUACAGCCUGGCCAGAGGGAA
rnacentral:lncRNA from 1 species